rnacentral:lncRNA from 1 species
UUCCUCCAAACACCUCCGUUACUUCAUCUUCUCCACAUUAGAGCAUUCAAACGCCAUUGUUACCGGCGUUCCAUUCCUCCAAAUCACCCUCAAACUCUUCCUCCACAACCCCCACACCCCAAGGAAUGUGAAUCCAUUGUCAUAUAUCCUUAAAUCUCUGCCAAAUCAAGUCAAUUCCAGGUCUAAAAGAAGAAAAAUAAGAAAUGUAAAAAUCUCCCCAAAUCUUCAUGCUUCCGAGAACGAUUAGGGCUGAAAUUGUUUUUGGUCAUUUGUUCUUGACGUGAACACUUGAUUGAUGCCAAUUUUGGGUCAAAUCGAAUUCUGUUUGAGGUUUGUCAAAAGACCCAUCUUCCUGCCGAUUUAGGUAAUUCUCUUCUCCUCUCGUUCUUCUUAUUUCCUCUCUUUUCUAUCUCAUGUUUAUUGUUUUACAAAUUAUUAUGUUCAUAUAUUUAAGAUCGAGUCAUUUCAAUGUAAUGUUCAGUUUAAUUUUUGGUUUACUAGCUGCUGGUUUUCUUUUACCUUGUUUUAUUUAUUUUUUAAAUUCUGCUUUUGUGUAUAAAAUUAGGAAGUGGAGUCAUUUUGGUUUUUUUAGUUUGCCUAGAAAUUCAUCAGCUUACACUGAACAUAGAGCUCUUAAAUCCCAAAGGACUGUUGAAGCUCAUCGUUACAGAGGCAAUUUGAUAAUUUGGUUGUAGUGUGAGGGUAAAUAACCAGGGUUAGAGGGGUAAUUUGGAUAGUUUUAGAGAGGGAAUCAAUGAGUAACUGCUUGGGGAAGCUUCUAGGAAGCUGGGGAAGGGGUUAUUUUGAAAGCUUAAAACUAAAUAGGGAUAGCUAGGCAAAAAUAAAAAUAUGAAAAGGGCCUAAAGGAAAAUUUGAGUCUCUAUUAGUUGCCUUAUUGCCUUGCCUAUAAAGGCAUCUCAUUCUUGCAUUUGAAAGAGGGACCGGAAGAGAUAGAAAAAAUACAAAAAAUUAGAAACGACUAAAAAAACAUAAAAAAUUAAUGUUCCAUUGAGAAAUUCUUCAAUUCUUGAGGAUCCCACUUCUGAAAUAAUCUCUGAACAAUCAGGAGGCUAAAAUGAUUUGAGUUUGGUUGGUUUUCAAAAGUUUGGUUCAAGUUUUGGUUGUUUUUAUUAUUAGGAAUCAAUUAAUAUUUCUGCUGGUUUAAAAUUUUGUUCAAAACUGGUUUCAUUGGUUAUUUCUUGGCUGACUCUACUGCUGAUAUUAUUUCUACUGCUGAACUAUCAAUUUCUGCUUUUGUUUUGAAAUCCAGGUACAUGUUCUGAAACCUACAUAAUGUGAUCUUCAAGUUGAAAGUGAAAUGAAAAUGGAAGUAGAAAGUUUGAUAUUCAGUCGUGUAUGAUGUUUAUGUGUUAAUCUCGCUAUUCAAAUUCUCUUCUCUAUGUAAAUCUUGACUUGUCAUUCUAACUAAUGUUGUUUAAGUUUCUAUGCAUCUAAUGUGUACAAUGUAUAGAUCUUGUUAGUUAGAUUUAGUAGUAGCUUAUUCAGCUUGAAGGGCUUCUUCAGAUACUAAAGUCACACAUAUUUUACUAAUGCUGUAGAGGCAGAUUUGGUAUUGCCCUUUUAGUAGUUUGUUAGAAAUAUAUGCAGAAUUUUGGUUGUAAUAGUUGAAUUCUUAUCGCUCCUGAAGCAUGGAAACUAUUAAGUAUUAAUUGUAGGCUAUAUGGUAGCAUAGUAUUGAUUUUCAAGUGUCAAAUAGGCAUAUUAUCAUGUCUGAUCACAAAAGGGAAGGUAGGUUCUAAUGAUUGUCUCGUAUGAAAUCUUAAAUUUUGAGUUUAACAUUAGAAGGUCAAUUGGGAUCCAAGGUUAGAAUUAAGAAUAGUAACCAUACCAAGUUAUUUUCUUAUUUCACAUUCAGUAAAG